CAAAAGAUAGUUUAAAUCUAAAAAUAAUAAUUUUGGGUGUUAUAGAUGAGUAGUCUUCUCUUUUGA
rnacentral:tRNA from 1 species